AGUGGCGGACGGGUGAGUAACGCGUGGGUAACCUGCCCCAUACAGGGGGAUAACAGAUAGAAAUGUCUGCUAAUACCGCAUAAGACCACAGCACCGCAUGGUGCAGGGGUAAAAACUCCGGUGGUAUGGGAUGGACCCGCGUCUGAUUAGCUGGUUGGCGGGGUAACAGCCCACCAAGGCGACGAUCAGUAGCCGGCCUGAGAGGGUGAACGGCCACAUUGGGACUGAGACACGGCCCAAACUCCUACGGGAGGCAGCAGUGGGGAAUAUUGCACAAUGGGGGAAACCCUGAUGCAGCGACGCCGCGUGAGUGAAGAAGUAUUUCGGUAUGUAAAGCUCUAUCAGCAGGGAAGAAAAUGACGGUACCUGACUAAGAAGCCCCGGCUAACUACGUGCCAGCAGCCGCGGUAAUACGUAGGGGGCAAGCGUUAUCCGGAUUUACUGGGUGUAAAGGGAGCGUAGACGGCAGCGCAAGUCUGAAGUGAAAUCCCAUGGCUUAACCAUGGAACUGCUUUGGAAACUGUGCAGCUGGAGUGCAGGAGAGGUAAGCGGAAUUCCUAGUGUAGCGGUGAAAUGCGUAGAUAUUAGGAGGAACACCAGCGGCGAAGGCGGCUUACUGGACUGUAACUGACGUUGAGGCUCGAAAGCGUGGGGAGCAAACAGGAUUAGAUACCCUGGUA
rnacentral:rRNA from 1 species